rnacentral:tRNA from 1 species
GUAAGGGUGGCCGAGCGGACCAAGGUGCUGUGUUUAGGUAGCAGUCUCCUUAUGAGGCGUGGGUUCAAAUUCCACCUCUGACA